CUGAAAUGUACGUCCUGUUAUUGUUGUAGGAACUGAAGGGCUGGCUUCAGUCUUAGGCACUGAAGCUUCCUAUGCUAAAGAAUCCUACACUUCCACAUGAGGUGCUACACCGACAUUUGAAAUUGGAGGGUCUGCUGCUAUCUCUGCCCCUUGUCAAGUCUAAGCCCCAGCUAAAUCUCAUCAAACCAUAUGGGGUUAUUAGUCUUUCGGGCAUGAAUGUCUUUAUCAACUAUUGCAAUAUUUGGC
rnacentral:lncRNA from 1 species